rnacentral:lncRNA from 1 species
CAGAACUGGGCAUAGAGAAGGUUCUUUUUGUUCCAUUUCCAUGUGGCAGAGUCAGAUUGCCUGGGUGAAUUCAUACAAAGCUUUAGCACAUCCCGAUUCUAGAGAUGAACGAACCACGUGGAUGCCCUCAAGAUGUGUACGACCAUGGAACGGGAGACUGGAGGGACCCAUGGAUCCAACCAUGGAUGGGGUUACCCCUGUAUGAGCCAGUUGAAUCUGAAUGCGAGGAUGGAAUGAGGACCGACCAGAGUCACAAUGCUUAAUGGACCAAUGCUUUCUGACUGAGCUCCUCUCUACCCUGAAUACAAGAGACCCUAAUAGUUAGGCAGGAAUAUCAUCGCCCCUAUUCAGCAUGAAGAAGUUACAGAAAAUGGACCUUCAUCCUUCUGCAACUCCUAGGAUUAAGGGUCCUCUUGUAAAAGGGAAAGGGGAGAUAUGUGCGAAACAUUCAAACCAGAGCGACUCCAUUUUGAAUAAGGGCUAAGAAAAAUGAAGCUGGAGCACUGAGCAGCAAUUAAGGGCUGCACAGCCUGCAAUUGCCUUGCUCAGUUAAAAGAGGCCACAUUUUAUGCUAGUAAUAAUGAUAGCUAGUAAUAAUGAUAGUAAUAAUGAUACCUUCUCCUUUACAAAAAAGAGAAGGGGAGCAUGUUGGGAAAAAGCUGAGUGUUGGGAAAAAAGCUGAGGCAGGGCUUGCAUGUCUGACAUAAUGUCCUCUGGAAUGUGUCUAGACUUGCUGGCUCCUUGCUUCUAGCCCUCCCAGGCUCCUAGAUCAAUUGUAUGCCCAUUAUCUCAAGUAGCAGAACAUGUUCCAUAUAAAUGCUAAACUGUCACAGCUGUAGAUCAUGUGCCUGCCCUUUUGACCCCCACAUUCUCAUCAGCUGUUUCUUUGUUGGAUUACCAAUAAAUAGCAUGGCUCCCAGAGCUCGGGGCCUUUGCAGCCUCCACAAUUGCGAUGGCCCCCUGGUCCCACUUUCUCUCUCAAACUGUCUUUUUCUCAAUCCUUUGACUCCACCGGACUUCGUCGCCCCCAUGACCUGGUGUUGGGUGUGAUCACCCCAACAAACAGGAGCUGGGUAAAAUGAGGCUGAAACCUACUGGGCUGCAUUCCCAGAUGGUUAAGGCAUUCUAAGUCACAGGAUGAGAUACGAGGUCAGCACAAAAUACAGGUCAUAAAGACUUUGCUCAUAAAACAAGUUGCAGUAAAGGAGCUGGCCCAAACAUACCAAAACCAGCUGACCAGAGGUCACUCUGGUUGUCCUCACUGCUAUACUCUCACCAGCACCAUGACAAUUUACAAAUGCCAUGGUGAUGUCAGGACAUUACCCCACAUGGUCUAAAAAGGGGAAUCAGGAAUAACCCAAGCUUUGAUGAGCAUAUCAUCAAGAAAUGACCAUAAAAAUGG